rnacentral:sRNA from 1 species
AGUCAUCUGUGGUGUUCGUAAGUUUGCUUUUUAUUUGGGCCUAACACUCUUUGAUCAGGGAGCCCAAUAGGUUUUCUCGCAGCGCACACGCCUCUAUAGGAGGACUUGCAAAACGAGAAACAGGGCACCCACCUGUAU